rnacentral:rRNA from 1 species
UAUUACCUACGGGGCGCAGCAGUAGGGAAUCUUCCACAAUGGGCGAAAGCCUGAUGGAGCAACGCCGCGUGGGUGAAGAAGGUCUUCGGAUCGUAAAACCCUGUUGUUAGAGAAGAAAGUGCGUGAGAGUAACUGUUCACGUUUCGACGGUAUCUAACCAGAAAGCCACGGCUAACUACGUGCCAGCAGCCGCGGUAAUACGUAGGUGGCGAGCGUUAUCCGGAUUUAUUGGGCGUAAAGGGAACGCAGGCG